ensembl:lncRNA
AUGUCAAGUCUCAGUCAUCAGUAUGGUGCACUGGAAAGGCUUUGUGCGAAAGCCUUGAGGGCUGAGAGGCAGCUGACAGCCAUUAUCCGAGGCCAAGAGCACCUGGGAACGCCAGGAUCUGACCCCAUUUGGGCAUCUCAUCUCAAGUUCUGCAGAACUUGGAGAUGCUUUCUGGAGAGAAGCCUGGCUCAUGCCCAGGUACCUUCACCCCUUGCAGCAAGGCUUUCUGUAGGUCUCCAUCCUCCAACCUCGGGGAUACAUAGAUCGUCUGUGCAAGAUGUGCUAAAAUAUGCUUGUCCUGCAGUGUAGCUCAUAAGCACUGUCAGCACUUUCUAAGGUGGUACAGCCAUACACAGACCUCUUCUAUAUGAACAAUGUAGUUAAAAUUGGCGUGGAUCAUUUCCAUGAUAAAACUAUGGGGAAAAGCCUUAUUUCAGCAAAUCUGCUUUGUACUGCAAAUUCUGUACUUUCACACAAGUAGGGUGCCUGCUUAAAUACUGCUUCGGAGGGAUGCGAGGCUUUACCCCGAGAAUUAGUCAGAAUAGUACAGAAACAACGCGGCUGCCCAUCACCCUCUGCUGGUCUGUGCGGGGACUGCGGGGUGACCGCUGGCUCCGGUGAUGAUGGGAAAACCUCUUAAGAAAGUGGAAGAAGCCUUCUGUUAUAUGGCAGAAUCGUUUUGCACAGCAGACAAGUGGGAUCAUUCUGUGCAACUGCAGUUUUGUCGAGUUGGGGCGGGCUGUGUGCGGGGGCACAGAGGGAAGAGCAGUUCUACGUGGAUACAAGAGUGCUGGAAGUACGACAGGUCUGUUGGCUUUAGUGGUUUUGUCUCAGAUUUAAUGUAGUUAGAUGAGAACGACAUCUGGUCUUGGUUCAUGAGGGAAUUUUCUUGGCGUGGGCUCAAUGCAGUGUAAGUCCCUGAUAAAUCACCCGAAGCAAUGACUGUAGCCUUUCUGGCAAUUCAGCUUCAAUAAGGUGGUUGUAUGACGAGGUGUACGCAAGCUGUCAGCACAAAUGAAUCAAUUCUGUGCAAACGGGAUGCUACUGAGCCUGUGAGUUCCAGAGGUGUUGCCAGCAUGGAACCACCACAGCCCAAGGCGAUGUGAGUGCUGAGAUGACACAGCCCAGUUGUCUUCCUACAGAACGUCGUGACAUUGAGAAGCCUGGAGAGCUGAAAGAAACUUCAGCAGGCCAAAGCUUUAGGAUUUGCCUUGUCCAUAUGGCAUCGUCUUUUCCUGGGAAAACUUCUUUCUAUUUCUUUUGACGUGUCUACAGUUCUGUCGUUAUGCCUCAUUUGCACUGGUACAUUCUGGGAAAUCUAGUCAAUAAUUCCUUAUGUCUGCACUGAGAGCAGAGCACUGCAUGACUUGUGGAGUCAUCAGAGUUAUUUCUGUGGUUGUUCUGUGCUCUGAGAUGGCUUUAUAAUGACCUGAGAUGUCACCAAUCCCUGAAUUUCAGACUCAGAUGUAUCUAACAGCGGAUGAAUUUCACCACAAACAGAAAAGGAGGCUUCAUCCAUUUACAUGAAGCCUCUUGUACAAUUUUAGCACUAGUCAGAUCUGAAUCUGAAAGAGUUGGUGCAUUGCAUGGAAAAGGAAUAAGCCUCAGGCAAAUCCAUCCGGAAGGGAAAGCUUGGCUGAGUAACUGCAGGGUAAAUCCAACAGAUUUGCCACAACUUUAGCGAGCUGUUGCUGCACGAAUUACAGUGAAUAAGGGAGUGCUCCAGUGAGCAUGGCAAUUGAAGUCAGCAUAUGUGCAGAGCAGUUUGGCUCUGAAAACCACGGAGGACCUGGUUUGCUUCCGAGCAUCCCCUGAGUCUCCUUCUCAGGGCUGCCAGGAAAAAGCUUUAUCACUGUUGUGCAUCACAGAGGUGUAAAGCAGGGCACAGCAAAACUCACCUGCUGGUUCUUCAGGAGGAUGGGAAGUGCUUUAAGGAAGGAGGAUCCCCAAAUAAAGGAUUGCUCGGAAGUUGUGCAGUUUGUGUCCCAGGCACAGCAGACUGCUUACAGCCUGUGUGAGGGGCAGGUCUGCAGCUGUUUGCUUGGGACUUCAGAUCCCAGACUGUAGCAUCAUUGGGAUGAACUGCACCUGAGGGCAUCCCAUCAGAUGCCAUGGGAGGAAAGGAGCUGUCUUGAAAUGAGCUGCACUCGUAGUGGUAGAGGAAGAGGAGUGUAUUUUUAGGGACUGCUGCAAUGCCUUACUGUCAGAGCAGCAGCUCUCGGUGGCAAGUUAAUCCAAACAGCAAAUGCAUCAUCCUCUGUUUCAUGUGAAUAUGCAGUGAUAAUGAGCAGGAGGGAACAUCUUUCCCUGUCUCCCCACAGAGCAGGGAACAGGGGAGAGACAAGAAUGGAGGGAUUCAAGUCAAAGCACUUCAGCACAGUCUGUCCUUAGUGUUUUAGCCAGCCACUGCAUGCAGUUUUAUAUUUAUGAACCUGUACCAAGGGAUUGGUUGAUAGGUCUUUAAUUUCCUUUGGUUUUGCUCUGAACAGGCCUCUCUGGGGACAGAAGGAACAUUUUCAGAGUUGCUGAGCAUCAUCUCCGUGCAAACCAAAGAGAGGAAAAGCACUCUGAUCAUAACCAUGGGGAGGGGGGGCAGUCGGUUUUCUGCCUGCCAAUAUUUUUUUAUUCUUUUUGUGUGUGUGUGUUGUGAGCUUCAAGGUCUGCUGGCUCCAUAGAUACAAAUAUGCCAAGAACAAAACGUGCUGAUGUGCCAGGAGUCAGGGACACAGAAUGGCUCUGCAAACAGAGCUGGAGCGUGUCCAGCAUCAUCAGGCCAUGAGCGCACAGGAGUGUUCAUAAAGAAAGGCACUUCAUUGCAGUGAUAUCAAGAUCUAUCUUUUUCUCUCUAUUGCAUCAUUAAGUAUAAGUUAUUUGUAUUUGUGUGUGGAAAAGCCUGCAUUCUGCACGAUCUCUUCAUUUCAUUUGGAAAAACAGAAAGGUUUCGUUCAUGUGCUACAGAAUCCUACAGCAGUAUCUGAGUAUGUAAUUGACAUCGUGGUUCCCUGAAUAACUGACUGGAGCAGAAAUCAGAAUAUUGGUUCUUUUCUCCAUGUGCUGCUGAUUUAUUGUGUAAAUAGCGAAAGACCUUUUAUUGUAGCUAUUGCAAAUUCCCAUACACGCUGUCAUUUCCCUCCUAUAUUUGUUUCCUUUUGUCAGUUAUUUGCUUGAACUACAUAACAACCAGUCAGGCAAAAGCUGAAAAUAUCUUUGUUGAGUGGUUUUUGGCAGCUUUAAAAUAUUAAUGCAUUUUAUAGAGUAGUUAUUUUUUAUAACUGUCAGUUGUUGCUACCAAGGCAGGGAAUUCCUUAUAAAUAUUGAAUGCUGCUUCAAGGUCUGGGGAAAAAAAAAGUUCUGGAAAUAUUUCUCUUAAGCUCCAAAAUGACUGAAAAACUGCUGAAAAAAUCUUCCUGAUGUUUGCAAAUGAGGUGUAAAUCCAGGAGAUCAGGAGUUAGCUGAUGCUAAUGGAAUUUUCUAAUAAACACUCACAGCUUUUGAGUGUAACAGGUCCUUGCAGACUGCUUCCUGGAUGUAGACACGUUGGGGAAGGGUUGAACAAAUGGUUUUGUUCUUAAAGGCUCUCUCCUAGUUGCUGUAGCAAGGCAUGUCUCAGAAAUUGCCUUGAGCUUCUGUUGUAAGAGAACAAAGCGGGAGGAGCUCACAGCCCAGCAGCUCCAGCACUGCUCCAUCUCAUCACCUGAAUGCAUUUGGGGUGCAAGGAGAGGGCAGCACUGGGCGAUGCUGUCUGCACAGUACCCACUUGGAGGCUAAAUAGAGGCCUUCUGUCUCCAGGGCUGCUGGGCUGCUGUGCCAGGUGUGCACACAUGAGAUUAAACAGUAAUAAAAUGACUUCAUGGAGUCAGUGAGGGUCACCAUUCUUGCAGCCAGAAUGGAGAUGAAAAGAAUCCAGACGUGAACUCAGGUCACUCAGUGGAAUCCGCUGUAAGAAAUGCAGAGUUGCUUUUAACUCCUAAGGGUACCUUAGAAAUGGCAUUAAAGUAUGCCAGCUAAAUAAACUGGAUGUGAUACUCAUUGCCUAGAAUUUAUCUUCAGAAUAUUAUCUUUGCACCUGAGAUUUUGCCUUCUCCUGAGUAACCAUGAGAUAUGCUGGCAGUGGUUUGUAUGCUGCACUGAUCUGAGAUGCUCAGGGCAUUGUUGUUUCAUAGAAAUCCUGGAUGACAGGUGCAUGCCUUGUUGGGGCUCCUAGCUGUGCCAUAAAGCAAAAUUUAGCCUAUUACAGUCCCAUGCAAAAACAUUUGUGGACUUCCCUGCAAUCCCUGGUAGACUCCUUGCAGUUAAAGGGAGGAGCUGCCAGCAGUGCAUUGCAACUGCUGCAUUUUCUCAUUUGUUUCUGAGCUCGCAGGCAGUGUGCAGCCAGGAGCCCUGGGGUGGUGAUUUGUUCACAGCAGGGACGUGCCAUGAGUGUGUCAGUGCACACACACACACACACACACACAAGCAGUGCCUCUCACCAGAGCUUUCUGGCCCUGCAGCUGAGAAGUUUUGUCUCUGGGU